UACGUAGGGGGCGAGCGUUGUCCGGAAUUAUUGGGCGUAAAGAGCUCGUAGGCGGUGUGUCACGUCGGUCGUGAAAACCUGGGGCUUAACUCUGGGCUUGCGGUCGAUACGGGCAUCACUUGAGUUCGGCAGGGGAGACUGGAAUUCCUGGUGUAGCGGUGAAAUGCGCAGAUAUCAGGAGGAACACCGGUGGCGAAGGCGGGUCUCUGGGCCGAUACUGACGCUGAGGAGCGAAAGCGUGGGGAGCGAACAGG
rnacentral:rRNA from 1 species